GUUUAAAAAGGUAAAUUACAAUUUUGCCAAAAUGCAGUCCCUUAUUUAGGGCAUGACUGUAUGAGGAAAGAAAAAGCCCUCUUUUAUGAUUGACUAAGGACUACCCAAACUUAUCCUAGAAUGCUUACAAAACAAAAACAAAAUAGAUUUCUAGGUUUAAAUGGAUAUUGCAGAUAAUGAAUGUCAACUUUUUCUGAGGUUAAAGUGCUACUUUAUAUGUUGACUAAUGGUUUAAACAUAGUUUUAAUGGCACGGAACUCCUCACCAUUAGGUCAAGCCUUUUAGAGCCCAAAUAGUGCCCCACCCAGGAAGGAGAGGAUCUCACAUUUUCAUGGACCUCCCUCUGCUUCCUCCUCCUCCUAUGGCAAAAUGGGACUUGUGAAAAGUAAUAAAGAGGUUCUGUAGUAAUGUGCUCCAUAGGGUGCUAUUCUCUCUCACACUAGGUUUAACAAGAUUAUCAAUGUCUCAUUGAGUCAAUCAAGUAAAGAGUCUGUGAGGUCUCUUCAGCCCUCUCUAUCUAAACAAGUAAAAAUGAGGUGCAGUACUGAUGGGACUGUGUGUGGCACUCUCAUCUAUCCCCCAGUGCAGGAAUGUUGAUGGCCACAAUCUGCAGUAUUACCAGAAAGCCUUUACUUUUGAGCAGGGUUCCCAAAUAACAGGGAUGCCCUCUGGGCCCUCCAACAAACCACCCAGGUUCUCUUUCCUUCAGGGGCUCACUGAUCUACAUUUGCCAUUUGAGUUAUAGGUUCCAGCAACCUCUCAGUUUUCUAAUUGGAGCCUAUGACAGAGGGACACUGGCAAGGGUUAGCAGAGCCCAUCAGGUUUCUGGACCUGUAAUCCCAUGGACUUGUAAGCUCCCGGAGUCAGCUGAAAGAAAUCACCCUCCAGCCUGGCCAACAUGGUGAAACUGCGUCUCUCCUAAAAAAUACAAACAGUAGCCAGGCCUGGUCACACGCCUGUAAUCUCAGCUACUCCGGAGGCUGAGGCAGAAGAAUCAUUUGAACCUGGGAGGCAGAGGUUGCAGUGAGCCGAGAUUGUGCCACUGCACUCCAGCUUGGGCGACAGGGAUGACCAUGCAAUUAAGCUCUGAUCAAAGGCAGAAAGACCACUUCUCCGGAGCUUGAAUAGAAGAGGUGGAGCUCUCACGUGGACCUGCAGACCAAUCAUACACACUUAGAAUGACAAAACAAAGAGCUGGAAGGUAUGAAGUCUUCUGUAGACUUACUAGAUUAGAACCACCAUCCCAUUUCUGGAUUGCAUCUAUCAGGAUCUUUGAGAGAGAUUUUUAAAAAUUGUUUCAAUUGUUAUUGUUUUUAUUUUUAUUUUCUGUCAACAGGGAUGUCAUAGAAUCCAUGGGACUGCUGAAAAACCAAGAUCAGAAAAUUGUCAGGAGCUAGUGGAGGCUGAGCAGUGAAGGUUAGAGCCCAGCACAUAGAGCAGCAGUCCCUUAGAAUGCAGGUGCUGGCUUUACUGGAAAUAGACUCUCAGUACCACUGAAGCAAUGAGUACUUUCACUGCUGUUCUUAAUAUUUUAUUCACUCAAGGUCCAGAAUAGUAGGUUAAUGCAUUCAAUU
rnacentral:lncRNA from 10 species